GACGAACGCUGGCGGCGUGCUUAACACAUGCAAGUCGAACGGAAAGGCCCUGCUUUUGUGGGGUGCUCGAGUGGCGAACGGGUGGGUAACACGUGAGUAACCUGCCCUUGACUUUGGGAUAACUUCACGAAACUGGGGCUAAUACCGGAUAGGAGCUCCUGCUGCAUGGUGGGGGUUGGAAAGUUUCGGCGGUUGGGGAUGGACUCGCGGCUUAUCAGCGUGUUGGUGGGGUAGUGGCUUACCAAGGCUUUGACGGGUAGCCGGCCUGAGAGGGUGACCGGCCACAUUGGGACUGCGAUACGGCGCAGAAUCCUACGGGAGGCAGCAGUGGGGAAUAUUGCGCAGUGGGGGGGAGCCUGAUGCAGCGACGCCGUGUGCGGGAUGACGGCCUUCGGGUUGUGAACCGCUUUCGCCUGUGACGAAGCGUGAGUGACGGUAGUGGGUAAAGAAGCACCGGCUAACUACGUG
rnacentral:rRNA from 1 species